GCGCGCGAUUUAGUUUAUAUCUAAAAUACGCGUUAAGGAAUUGCAUAAAGAUGAGCAUAGAAACCUUCUUUUCUUAUUUGAAAACUUGCUGGACUUGCGGCCACCUAGGUACUUUAGAGUGAAACUUAGCGCACACUAAUCCCUAGGCAACACCGGCGGCACAACGCGGCACGGCAUGCGCGCGAAAGAUGGUAGAACUUUAUGGAACUGUCAAGCGUGGCCCCUCAUGACAGACGACUCACAGCAUGAAAUAGAUGUGCUCCAUUCUGUCUGGCCCAGCAGCUGCUCUGCCAUUUCCACGUGCUGCAGGCUCGAGUGGAGGUGGUUAACAUCAGCAAAAAGCAAUGUACUGAAGGAUGAUAGGCGCUGCUUUAUGGGAGCUUUCGAAAAGAUCCUGUGUGCCCAGCGUGACCAAGAGCUGCAAGCAGCUAAAGAGGCUCUGCACGCAUUAGGUUAUGUGCCAUACAGCCAGAGAGUGGAGGCAUUCCUCCAGUGUGAGCAGCAGUGAAUGUUGCUGCACAGUGUAGGCCUGAUGACACGAGGGCAUAACACCAAUAGUUACCCAAAGGAAUCCAUCCGGAUUCUCAAAGACAUUGGACUUUGCAGAAACAAGGCAUGUAAUGCAGUAGCCUUGGUGGAGUAUGUAAUACCAAGUGGGAGGAGUGCUCCAAACUUCGACUACACCACACACAGCGCUGAGAGCCCUCUCACCAGAUUAGAUUUUAAAAUCUUGAGAAGAUGACAGAUGUGCCCUCGGAGUCCAUUGUUUGCCUGGGCAAUUCCAUGUACAGUGGGGAUGGAAAUAAACGUGAACAGUGUGGCAUCUACAUUCUCUGCUGUCUCGCAUUUCUUUUCAAGCGGCUGUAGCCUGGAUGGUAAUAAAAAGCCACUAGAGUCAUGCAUGAUAUAUCAGAGUGUGAUGAAAACUGUGCGCCGUGUUGUUUGCGUUUCUUUCCAUCCCCCCGUACAGCGUUCCCAGUUAAUCUGGAUCUGUAGCGUAUAAAGUCGAUGCUGGCAUCAGCCUAUGCAGCUUCUGGAGAGGGAAACAAGGUGCUUUCUUUAAGCACCGAACUGUCAUGCAGAAAGCCUUUAGGGGGCCCUUUCAAACCAGUCCACUGCUCACACUGGAAGACUGCCUGUUGCUUGGUCAGCUGGUGGCAGGUGACCAAUGCCCGAACCUUCAAUACUUCAUGCUGAUGAGCCAGCAAGACCCUACUUUAUUGUUAGCCCCACAAGGACCCUUACAUCCUGAGGAAGUGGCCAUGGAGGAUGGUUCGAGCUUUGCUGAACUAGUGUCUGCGCCACUAGUGCCUCUUCCUCUCCAAAGCCUGGCAGCUGAGGAACGAGAAGAGAUGCAAGAAGAAUUCCUAAAUGAGCUGCGGUGCAUCGCAUCUGUUAGAACCAGCAGCCCAUCCAGUGACAAGUUGCUAGCUGCAGCAAUAUCACAGCUCAGGAAAAUCAAGACUAGCAGUAGGGCUGAUGCACUACUGCUGGCAAUAAAGCUUGCAUAUGCUGUGGACAGGAGGCUUGGCAGACAAAUAAAAGUUCAGCCAACAAGUUUGGCAAGGCGCAGGCCGGGCUUGCCCCGGGGCUCAGCACGAAUGCCCGCCGGGCAUCCACAGAAAGCGGCAGGGCAACAGACAGCGAUAUGCUGCCACAAACUAAGCAAAAAUAUGCAGGGUAACGUACCUGCAGCAAAGUCACAUUAGAGCCGUGUGCAGUGCUAGGAUUCCCUACUUUAAUUAUAUACAACAUGCCAUCUCUUCACCUCUGCUUUCUCUGAGCCCUGUCCCACUUUUUGGAUGAAAUUCACUUCUUUUUUUUCUUAGCAUUGGCAAAUCCAUGACUUGUCUGCAGCUGCCUAAUAUCACGUUUUGCCUUUUUUCGUGUUACUUUGCUUAAAUUCUAGUUCUGUAUUAAGUUGCAACAGCUUUGGUGCUCAUGGCACAGUGAUACAGCACACUUCCUCAUAAGAAGUAGUGCUGGGUUGAAGUAUUUUCAUGGCCAAGAGACACCAGCUGUCAGCAUGAAUGGCUGCAUGUUUGUUUUUCCGGCUGCAUUUCUUCACAUUUUUGUGGCUGCUUCAACCAUUUCUGUGUAAAAUCAAUAUGCUGGGCUAGACCGCAUAUAUGUGUCAUGAACACUCAUAGUUAAUGUUUAGCAAGAAACUUGACGUUAUGUCAUCUACUGUGUCCUUUAUGGGGGCAAUUGGCUGUUUUUUGGACAUACCGAGAAUGAACCGCCCCUUUAUGCAACCACAUAGUGGCAUGUCAGACUUCAUUCCUCAUCCUUUGUAAAAACAUUGUGCCUUAUUUGUAGUGUUGUUUACCUUGUUGGUGUAUUGAAGGUUAAAGGAAGAUCUCGUACAUGUACCCAUCAACAGUUAACAGGCCAGAGCAUGAACAAACAUGUUGAUUUUGUGCACUGUUGCAGGGCUUAUAGCCAUAUGCUAAAGACUGCAUGAUUGUGAUAAAAAAAAGGAAACCACUUUUCUUAUCAACUGCUUUCGAGCACUGAACUAACUUCAAAGGCCCUGCUACUCAUGAUUCAGUCAUCUUUGUAUGUGCACUGUGGCUUGAGAACUUUCUAGAAGAGUGUACCUCAAGGAUUUUGCGUGGUACUUUUCUAAAAAAAAAAUGACAUUAUAGUGGUGUUGUAGAACUUAUAAUUUAGCUACUUGUAAAAUCACUUGAGCUUCUGACUGAAGUCUGAGUAAUGUUUUCAGUGUUACCUAAAUGCAAAUGUGCUCUGUUUCUCGUUUCACUUGCUUUUUGUACAAGUUACCUUUUUUGUAUUGCAGCUUCAAUUUCAAAGUAUUGUCACAAAGAUCAUAAGUGC
rnacentral:lncRNA from 1 species